CUGUAUGAUUUGUAUGCAAAUUCAGUUUGCAGAAGUAAUAUCUAGCUGACAGCCCACUAACUCAAGCUUUAGGUUUGAGUAUCUUGGCUGUCUCCCACGUGAAAUCGGUAUCCUCACGGCCAAAGUGUCCAUAGGCAGCAGUCUUUUGGUAUCUGAAGUUCCCUCCUCUUUUCAGAUCAAGGUUGAUGGCAAUCAUUCCAGGCCUAAAGUCAAAGUUCUCUUUUAUAAGGGCUAGUAUGUCCUUGUCCGAUAUCUUACCCGUCUUGUAGGUAUCAACAAACACUGAAAGUGGCUCUGCUACACCAAUAGCAUAUGAAACUUGCACUAUGCAUCGACGAGCAAGUCCAGAAGCCACUACACUCUUAGCUGCCUGCCUAACAAUGUAUGCACCACUCCUGUCCACCUUGGUAGGAUCCUUGCCCGAGAAAGCACCUCCACCAUGAGCACCCCAGCCACCAUAGGUAUCAAUGAUAAUUUUCCUACCAGUGAGUCCAGCAUCUCCAUGCGGCCCACCAAUAACAAAUCGACCUGACGGGUUGAGGUGGAAGAUUGUUCUGUCAUCAAGGUACUGAGCAGGAAUCACAGGCUUGAUCACAUGUUCUUUCAAAUCCUUGGCUAUCUGAUCAUUUGUAACAGUUUCAUCAUGCUGGGUUGAGAUGAGAACGGUGUGAACUCUGAUAGGAACCAUGGCACCACCAUCAUUCUUGUACUCGACAGUAACUUGGGUCUUACCAUCAGGUCUCAGCCAUGGGCAAGUCUUGUUCUUUCUCACUUCUGUGAGCUUCGCCCCAAGCUUGGUGGCAAGAACAUGAGUGAGUGGCAUGAGCUCCGGAGUUUCAUCUGUGGCAUAGCCAAACAUGUGGCCUUGGUCACCAGCUCCAAUUUCUUCCGGUUUCUUUGUGAGAUGACCAUGAACCCCCUGAGCAAUGUCUGGGCUCUGUUGCUCAAUAUUAACAAGGACCUUGCAUUUGUCAGCAUCAAGGCCAACAUCAGCUGACGUGAACCCAAUACCUCUGCAGGUAUCCCGAACUAUCUUCUCAUAGUUUAUGUUGGCUUUGGUCGUGAUCUCCCCAAAGACCAUGACCAUAUUAGUCUUUGUGCAUGUUUCACACGCAACUUUGCUAUCUGGAUCUUGAGCUAGACAAGCAUCAAGAAUGGCAUCUGAGACUUGGUCACAAAGCUUGUCAGGGUGGCCUUCAUUGACAGACUCCGAGGUGAAGAGGAAGGUAUCCAUUUACAGUCUAAGCAGAAUACAGAGAGACAUAGGUUAUGCUAAACAUUCAAACAAUUUAAAAUGUUGCAAAGUAGAAAUCUUCCUCGUGUCAGUUUUUUGAUAAAUUGCUAAUAAUUUUAUGCACUUAUAUCUUAAAAACAAUCGACCCAUCUGAUUUUAACAUAAAGCUUUAACAAAGACGACUAUAAAAACUAAGGUCUAACUCCAUCUUAUAGGGUAGUUUUCCUUACCUAAAGCCAACAAGAUUUUAUUAGAUUUUUUCUUAAUCUACAAUAAAAUAAGCAAAAAUUAAUCUCAGACAUUCCCUGGUAAAAUACUCAUGCGAACACGGUUCUCUUUGUAAGGUUGAUUCAUUGCUCUGCUCAAAUCAAUUAGAAAACAGGAAAAAAAUGUUUUGAGGUGUUCAAAAUCGCAGCAUGAUACCGUGAUAUAGAUUCAUUCUUAACUUUAAUUUUUGAUCGUAGUAAUUCCAUUUCACAUAAAUACUGGAACAAAACAAGAAUUCCCCAUGUGCUAUGGUAAAAUUUUACCACAACAAGAAAGGGUGGUUCAGGAACAAACUCCAAUUUUUCCAUGUUGGACAAAAAGGAUUUGUAUCUUCUUCACCAAAUUUAUGGUCUCACAAUAUUACCCUCCAUUGCAAAGGACAUUAUACAAAUCAUGAAAUCAUCUGCUGAUCACUAGAGCAAAUUUGCAAAGGUGUUGAAGUACAGAUCCACCACAGAAUCAUACUGGUAUAUUUUCAGUUGCUAGCCUAUAUUUUCACAUUAUCAUAGUAUUAGUAUAUAGUAUUAACUCUCGAAUAAAAAUUUAGUAUCUUCGAAUCCAGAACCUUUUCAAAAAUACUAAUAUGAAUUCUGACUUUAAACACGGAAUGAGAUCUGCAUAUAAUGGAGCGAAAAUAUGAAAUCCUAUACGUCGAGAUCCAAAAUCAAACCGCAUUUCUUCAAUACUACAAAUUGAAUACUUUGUAAGCAUAAAUAGUGAAUAAAUUAAAUACAAAAAAUAAUCCCAGAAAAAACCAAUUCAUAGACACUCAAUUUUACACAAAUAGAGGAAUUCAUAAUCACGACGAUGAAUGUAACACAUUUCUGGACAAAAACUCAAAUGGAUCUGAUAAUAAAUGAAAGUACUCUCACCAGAUCUUGAAUCUAUGAUCCAAACUAGAGAAUGCGUACCUUUGUAUCACAAACUCUACACCAGAGUAUGAAGAAAUGCCGUGUGGUUUGAGGGAACAGAAGUAAGAUACAGGUAAUACAUAUAUAGGCGGAUAUGGGGCUUGCGGUACGGGCGACUCGGUUGCAACUCCACUCCACCCCAGCAAACAACAACGACCCCUGUGGCUACCAAAUUUUUUACCUACUUCGGUGGGUCCCAAAUUACGAAGUUGAGUCUCUAUAAUGAUGACAAGUGGCAAGAUAAACGAUGGAGAAUGGUUGGUUUUGGUUUUUCUUCUGGCUGUCAGAUUUUGUUCAAAGUUGAAGUUUUUGUCUUUUUGAUGUUAACGUGUGCCCCGUGCUCCAAAUAAUGAAUUUUUUAAACUUGCUAAUAAUGUACAAUUUACACGUUUGUGGAAUAGAUAGCCUUGCACUAUUUAGCUUCACUCUACCAUAAUCUUCUAUGCUAUUGUUGAGGAUCGAUUAACAAACAAAAUCAUACAAAAUAAAAGAAUUUUCGAUAUUCAUUUAGGAUCGAUUAACAAAUAAAACUUUUUCAUAACGAAAAGAGUGGAUCCCGAAAUUCUGACCCCCUUCCGAUAAAAUUAAAUUGUGGACUAGCUCUACUUCUUGCUUGAGUUUUUUUAUAUAGAGACAACAACAUUAUAUGGAAACCAUAAUGUUUUAUCAAAUUUUACUGAAAAUUUGAUUUUUACCUAAAUUAAACAAGGGCUAACUUAUUAUUGGAAAAAUUGCAGCAAAUGUUCCAAACCAUUCAAAAAAAUGUGUGCAUUGGAAAGACCUCAAAAGGUUUUCAUCAAAAGGCACAUUUGUUGAUCAAAGUUAGUGUUUAAACACAAAUUGCCCAACUUCAAAAAGGGCAAAAUGGUCUUUUAAAUUUUUAAAUAAUUACAAAAGGAAAUUUUGCAUCAAAAGUCCCGAACCUUUCAAAAUGUGCCAUGAAGGUUCCAAACCUUUAGUAAAUGUGAGUUGGAAUUGCAUCUAAUAAUUUUCAUCCAAAAAUUUGCCAGUUGACAAAACUAUUUAUCUUCCCAGACCCACAUAAACCUGUCGCCUAAUCCCCAACUCACCCAACCCCACCCAUUGGUAGGUGGGAAAGCCUCCACCAUUUAAGAAUGGCAAUCCCCCUCCCCCCCCUCCCCCCCAAAAAACCCGAUACUCGCGAGGACCCUUCUCAAACAGGACGAGAAUUACUCACUUAAUAGGGUUUCGAAUAGGGAACGGAGCGGGGGACUUUACCCUUGGGCAGGUAUGAGUAACAAGGGCCCUACCCACAUUUUUUUUUGAAGAAUUCAAUACUUUAAAUAGAAAAUUUUACGAAAUUUCAUUAAUUCUAAUAGAAGAUGGUAAUUAAGGUUAUCUAAAGAAUAUGACAAAAUAUAGAAGUCUUAGCUUACCAAACUUUUUUGAAUAAUUUAACUUCUAAAAAAAAUUAAUUAAAAAAUAUAUUAUUAUCCGACUUUUAUGAAUGUGGACAAUAAAAUGAAUUGUCAAAAUAAAUAAAUAAACUAGUAGUAAACGGGGAAAGGCCCCACACUUCCCACUUUAAACGGAUAGCAUGGUAGGUACGAGGCGUGGCACGGGGAAGGUUCCUCGACCCUGACCCACGCUAUUGCCAUCUCUACCAAUGUCGUUACUUUUAAUUUUGAAGAGAAUUUAUCUAUCAUUAUUCAUUUCUUCUCAGUUUUUUCAAAGAUUCUUGUUAGUAAGAAAUGAAGUUGACGAGAUUGGAAAAAUGGGGUUGACGGAGGUGAAAGAAAUGAGGCAGCAACAAUGACUCGGGCAAUUCCGUCAAGAUGGUCAUUGCAGAGCUCGAGUUUCAUGAUUCGAGUUGCCAUCUCCAUUCAUUUAUAACAAAUGAGUGAUAUUUCGCUAGUAAAGCAAGUCCUAGCGCAUUCAUGACAAUGAUUUUGUGUAGUAUAUGAGUACAUCAUUUUCAAUGCACAUGGCUAGAAAGUUUUGCAAUAUACCAUCCGACUUUGAACGAUAACUAAUGCCUUUAAUCUUACAAACUCUUUUAUAGAAAACAUAUUAAUUAUAUAAGUUUCAAAUUCAUAGUCACCGAUCAUCAACUUUUUCCAAAUGAAUUCAACGAGUGAAAACUUAAAACACUUUGACAAAGAUUCAAAUUAUAGAAAUCAAGUCUUUAAAUUGAAAACAAAAAACAAAUAGCAAUAGGACAUGAACCACUAUGUCAAUGAGCAAUUGUUGGAGCUAUUCUAAACAAUUGUCAUGAAUAAGUGUAAUUUUUAAUCUCUCUCAAUACAAUUAAAUUGAUAUCUUCGUAUAUUUCAUUAACCAACUUACGUUUUGCCCCUCCAUUUUUUGGUGUGAUUGCACCGGUAACUAAACUUUAGUUCUGUGUGUUUUGGUUCCUAAAUCCAAUAGAAUGUUCAGCCCGUCAUUAUAUUCUCAGUUCAGCUCUUUAAUUUUCAAACUUUACACUUUAGUACCCAAAUUCCACUAUUCAUCCAAUUCUCAUCCUACACUUCAAUUUCUAUGCCUAAACUUCCAACAUCUUCAAUAUUGGUCCCUAAAACUUAAUAAUCAUUCGGAAUUGGUCCACCUGAAGUUACAUAAGUUUUUAAUUUAUUCCCCAAGCUUUUCAAAAGUUAAAUUUUACCCCUCGAAACAUAUAAUUUUCUUCUGAUAGCUCUCUUUUUACUUAUAAUCACUCAAGUGCCAUCUAAUUAAUCUGCUAUUGCUCCGAAUCAAUUUCAAUAAACUCCAAAAAGCUCUUUUUCACAUCAAUUGCCUCCAAUUUAGCAAUAAAUAUAUAAAAAUAGAAACACGGAUAAGUGCAUAAUCUAAAACUAACUUGAUGACUUGAGUUAGGUUAUGGAGUCGUGAGACCGUCAACCAGAUUCUUGCUAGCUUGACAACGUUUUUUGCCUAGCUUUCAAACUUUUUAAUGUUCUUAUGUUUUAAUAUUCCUCGACACUUGAGACAUGAAUAUUUGUCCAAGUCUAAAGUUUUCGAGUGUCUAAUAAAUUAUACUUCGUUUAACAUUGUGUUCUUCGCCCUUUUACAUAAAACAAACUCAUGGAACAUCAUCUUCCUCAUAUCCAUCUGCAAAAAUCCCAUAAACCAAGAAUCUUGCUCGAAUUUCAAUGUCAACUCCUCUCUACAGCAAAGAUGGAAUCUACACAUCCCCAAGACCACCAAUCUCUUUACCACAAGACCCAGAAAUCUCUAUGGUUCCAUUCCUCUUUAGAAAUUUUUCGUCCAUUGCUCAAACUACUGCACUUAUUGAUUCCGAAACUGGCCAAAUCUUAACAUUUUCAAACCUCAAAAAACAAGUUUCUAAGCUCUCUACUGCACUUCUCAAUCUUAAAAUCUCCAAAAACUACGUAGUUUUCAUCUUCUCCCAGAAUUCAAUCCUUUUCCCUAUAUCUUUCCUAGCCGUGGUGGGCAUUGGUGCUAUUGCCACCACUGCCAACCCACAGUAUACUACGGGCGAGGUCACAAAACAGGCCGAGGACUCAAACCCAAAACUUAUCAUCACAACUCAUGAACUCUAUCAUAAAAUCAUGCAUUUGAAUCUACCUUGUAUUAUUCUAAGUCCCAAAACUUCAGUUCAUAUUACAGCCAAUCCAAACAUUCAAAUAUGGUAUCUCUCAGAUUUGAUUGAAUCAUUGAAUUCAUCUGAAUUGCUACCAUUUCCAUCAGUUUUACAAACUGAUGUUGCAGCCCUAUUGUAUUCAUCUGGGACUACUGGAACUAGCAAAGGAGUGGUCAUAACACACAGGAAUUUCAUUGCCACAUCUCUAAUGGUAACAUCGGAUCAAGAGGUUUAUUGCGAUCCAAAGAACGUGUUCUUGUGUUUUCUUCCUUUGUAUCAUAUUUUUUGUUUGGCCGUAGUAUUAUAUGCGCAGCUGCAGCGAGGGAACGCAGUGGUGGUGAUGGCAAAAUAUGAGAUGGAGAAGAUGUUAAUGGCUAUUGAAAAGUACAAGGUUGCACAUAUGUUUGUGGCGCCACCAGUAGUUAUAGAAUUGGCAAAGCGGCCAGAGGUGGUGAAGAAAUAUGAUGUUUCGUCCUUAAAGGAGAUUGGAUCGGGGGCUGCACCACUGGGAAAGGAAGUGAUGGAAGAUUGUGACAAAAAAUUUUCAGAAGCUGUAAUUUAUCAGGUUAGUAGAAGAUUAGUAGAAAAUUUUAGCUUAUUUUUCUUUCUACCUACUGUUUAGCACAGUCUAGUCCACGUUACCAAAAUGAAUUUUUUGAUUUGGACAUAUUUUGAUGCGAAGUGAAAAAAGCUUCGGUAAAAAGUUUAAAUUCAUUUUCACCAGUUUAUGAUGCUAAAAAAGCAGUAUUUUUAUUUUAAGAAUGAAAAGAGUAACAUAUAUAUGACUAGUACUAGAAGUAGUAGUAGAAAUAAGUUCACCAAAGUCAUCUUAUGGAUGGAGUUCUUGGAACCAACCAAAGCCAUCCCUAUGCUAGCUAUACGCUCUCCCUUUAAGCAAACAAAGGUGUGCGCAAGACAGAAAUUAAAGCAAGAGCCAGACCAAUCCACCAAUCAAAUCAGCGGAAAAAAAAUGCAUUUUGACAUGAUUGAAAGCACCAAGUCAAAAAGAAAAGGAGCAAGUACGGCUUUCAAACUUGUCUCCCCAUUGCCUUAAGCCUGGAUACCCAAGGUCGUGGCAGCUUGAAUUCUCUUCAUCACAAAGGAGUGGAGUGUAUAUCCUCUUACGCAAGAUAGUUUGUAAGAAGUUCCCUAAUGUACUUAUGCCACAAGGCCAAACUUUUCACGAACUAAUUGAUUUGAAGUAGUCGUACAGCAGAACAUCUUAAAACUCCAUUUUUGAAGUUAAAACGUUUUCACUUGGAAACAACUUUUGCCAACAAGUUGGUUCUGCACGUGUUAAUAAUCUUGAAAACAUUGAAUUCUCUAUUAUGGAACCUAAAACUAAUGUGGUCCGGGCGCUGCGCGUGGCAGGGCUACGGCAUGACAGAAACUUGUGGGAUAAUUUCAAUAGAGAACACAAAGAUUGGUUCUUGCCAUUCUGGUUACCGGGGUGCUUGUUCCUGGAGUUGAUCUCAAAUAAUAGGUAUAAAUUCCAUGAAAUCUCUCCCACUUUCCACAAAGGGGAAAUUUGGGUCCGUGGCCAAAAUAUGAUGCAAGGUAAAUUUCACAUUGUGCUUUAACUACGACUGAUUUAAGUAUGUAUACAUAUCAUUUGUCAUGUUUAUUGUUUUAUAGGUUAUCUCAAAAAUCCGAAGGCCACAACGGAAACUAUUGAUGAACAAGGUUGGUUACAUACUGGAGAUCUUGGCUAUUUUGAUGACGAGGGGCGACUAUAUGUUGUCGAUCGAUUGAAAGAGCUUAUCAAGUGUAAAUGCUAUCAGGUAAUAUGAUAUAGACUUUAAAUUUAAAUUUAAAUUUUGUCACACAUUACAUGACAAACUAAAUAAAACAAAUUUCUAGACAAAAUUUGGUAACACAAAUUCUAGAAAUGAGCUCAAUAAAUUGUUGUACCUAAAGUACCAAAUCCCAAACCCCAGCAGCAAGGCACGAAAAUCUGCAACUAAAACUGCAAAACCCUCUCCCUUCUUCUUCUCCCCCUCGAAAUAUUGUCUUUGUACUUUCUUUCAUCCCAAACAAUUGAAAAUUUAGAUUUUUAAGGAGGGUUUGUGGGAAGGCUUGGAAAAUUAGAGAGAGGGAUGGCAGAUGCAUAUCGAUUGAACUACGUGAAAUUUAGGCGGAUCAAUUGGACUACUGGUCGAGUGAAUUAAGUGGGUUUAAUUUGGGUUCCCAUGACCAAUUUGUGUAACAUGGGGGAAAAAACCGUGCUACAUUGUCAGAAACUUUUGUCAACUUCUACAUCGAAUCAGACCCUGCCAACAAAUCAUCUGCCAUGGAAUCUAGCAACAUUUUUAGGUAAAAUGGCUUAACCUUAUUUUAUUUAAAAGAAAAAAGAUAAAAGGGAUUUCUGGAUCCCAUAGAGUUCAGGCCUGAGGCGACCACCUCACCCACCUCGUCUUAGGUCGAACUGUGGUACAAGAGCAAUAAUCAUGCUAGAAUAAGUCCUCAUUUGACCCCUAUUAAAUUAAAUUUCGUUUUUUCUCAUAUUUUCAAUCACACAAUUUUCCAUGAAAUAAUAUUACACAUAAAUCGAAUUUUUUUUUCUCUUUUUAAACUACUUGUUUCACGCGGGUAGUCGCUAAGAAAUUGAAAUUACAUAUUCUCUGUUUGAGAGUGUUUGAUUCGAGGUUCUUUGCUCUAUGUCUUCUCUUCCUUUUAUAUUCCCUUGAUGAUUUCUUUGUGAUCAACCGCUUAGAAACUGCUUGAUUGUUUUAUAACUACCCACUUCCUUUAUGGUGGCUAUGGUGUCGUGGAACUGCCGUCUCUAACUACUGUCACUACUCUUUGUCGUUCAACCAUUUUCAACUGAACUCCUUGAAUCAUGGAACGUGAUAAGGUUACUUGAUAACUGCUUCAAUAACUGCACUUCUGGAUAACCAUAAGAUCUUAUGUUUGCUAAGAUCCUGGGCAAUUCGAAGGUUUGGGCGAGAACAGGGUCAUAGCUCUGGGCGACUGUAAGGCACUUCAUUCGCUCAGAUUUUGGGCGUCUUGCAAGCUUGGGCGAUGAUGUUACCGUAUUCGUGGGCUUCCACUGCAUUCAUUAGUAACCCUAUUUGGGCCUUUAUCCUGAAUUUUCCAGUUGGGCUUCAUUCUUUGGACUAUUUGAUUUGAGGAUUCCCUAAUUGGAUUUCAUUCCUUAGGCUAUUCGAUUUGGGCUGCACUUUUAGUGUGUCAACAAUUACCCCCCAAUAUGGCAGAAUUAAUACUAACUAUUAAUCUUUGCCAUAUUUACUUUGUGUUUCCCAACAACAUUUGAAAUUCCCAAGAAUUUCAAUCAUUAUUUCCUUCCAUAGUCUGAAAAAGUGCGACGCUACAAACCCUUAUAAACCCCAAGGACACGCCAUUUCGUUGUACCACUAAAUCAUGCCUCAUUAUUUCGCGCUUCUUUCUCGCAAUACCAUUGUUCAUCUUCUUGCUUCUCUGCUACGUUUCUUAAGCAAACUCUAACAAAACUGUAUUUCGUCCGUAAUGGCUACUCCACAAACUCAAUCUGACGACUCUUUUAGCUUUGAAGAUUUCCAGAAAAUCCUCACUCGACCAUAUGUAAACCCGAACUUCCUUGCAUUAGCCAAUGCAGAACUUAAUGAGUUCUAUUUGGGACCUUCAUUCAACAACGCCGAAGCCGUCGAACAAGUGGCGGUAGGCCAGCUGUUCCCUUGUACUCAAGGCCCUCCAUUCCUGAACUCUUUGCCUCUGAGGCCGAUUUGCGAAAAAGGUAUUCGCACUUGGCCUAAAUCUGAUGUUGUUUUCUAUAGAUGGCAUGCUCGCCUUGUGGGCCAUGGUCCUAUCAAGGCGAUUUUUGAUCAUGCUAGGAUUUUUGAUUUAUUAGAAAUCUCUCUUCAACCCCCAAUUUUUGACCCAGCACUUUUCCCCUAUUUCUUUAAGUUUUUGGUCUUCUGAAUAUAAUACUUUUGUUUUUCAUCUCGGUCCCAUGUCAAUUACUUUAAGGGAUGUUGGGGCCCUGAUAAAUCUUCCACCUUUGGGCGACACCAAUUUUCUUGAUAUUUUGAUUUCCGGCGUUGCCCCAAAAUUUGACAAAAAAACUCACUAAGUCCUAUUCAAGCCUGCAAAGCUAUUAUAAUCACUCAAAUGCUGAGCCUUCCCACGCUGAGCAUGUGACCUUUCUUCAGAUUUGGCUUUGUAAAUAUAUUCUGUGUGUGCCCAGUUUGAAGCCUUCUAUGAGCUAUUUACCUAUAGUGCACGAAUUGGCGCGUGGUAGGCCUUUGAAUUUGUGCUCCUUCUUUUUGGCUGCCCUCUAUAGAGGCAUGGCUUCUCUUCAAUUUUAAUUGAAGAAUGGUGCAUCUCCCACCGGCAAUGGGCCUCUUUGGUUCACUCAAUUGUGGUUGAAAACCUAUUUUCCAUCACUUGGUGCUCUAUCCAUGUCCCUUCGUUCUGCUAGCUGUUAUGGGCUAGCCAUUGACCCAUUGAGUCCUGUAAAUAUAUCGAGAAUGAACAUUUUUUCAUUCUUUUAUACUUUAAAUUCAAUUCCUUCCUUCUUUCCCUUUUCUGCUCAUUUAACUCCAGAUUAUGUGCAACCUCCAUCCACCUUGAACAGUGCGAGCGCCUCUCUGCUCGUUUGAAUUCAGUUUUUGAUUGGAGGGAGUUGUUCCAUGAUAUUUUAACUGGAACCAAUGCCAAAGUUGGGGUUGAAAUAUAUGCUCCCCAAUUUUUUGCUCGCCAACUUGACUUUGGCCAAACUUGGCAUGUUCCCCCUUGUUAUUCAAAAAUUUAAUAGACCACUUUCACACAUUAAUAGGGCAGAGGCACAAGCUAUAGAUGCUCGCAAUAUGCUUUUGACGAGUAACUUUUCAUUAGCCCCCUUCAAUCCUAGUCGUGCCGUUCACCCCCUUUUUGAACAACUCUAGCCAUUAGUGAAGCCCAGAUUGUUUGCAACUGAUGCCAAUCGUGCUUUCCAUUCACUGGAUCAGCCAAACAUUCUUUCCACUUCUCCUAUUUUGGUCACCCCUGUGUCCAUUAGGAGUCCUUCCUCCCCUGCUCAUGCUAAACAAUCUGUUCCUCCCUCUACUUCUUUGCCUGCCAAACCUACUGCAGCUAAGAGCGCCCCAAUCCGCAAACGGCCAGCUUCAGCAUCUCCCAUUUUGGAGGAUGAUGAUGAUGAUAACACUCUUCUCAUCGUCAGGCGAAAGGUAAUUGAAUUGAAUUCUGUUUACUCAUAAGCAAACGUUUCUAUGUGCUAAUAGUUUUUUCUGAAUUUCUCAGAAAAGUUCAGCCUCUCAUUUGAAGGCUUUGGUGUUGGCAGCUCCUGUUCCAUCAUCCUCUGCUGGAGCUGUUUCGUCCAAACCAGCUGAUGAAGGGACUACGCUUAAAGAGAAACCUUCAGUCCCGGAACCUUCAUCACAACUAAUGGAUGAGCCACCUCCUUCCCAGGGCGUCGACCUCCCGAACAUCGAACCAGAAGGUAAUACAUUUUUUGAUGUUUUACCUUUGUUUGUGCUAUUGAUUUCUGAUUUGCUGCUUCUUUAAUCAUGCAGAGGCUCCCAUUGGUCUGCCCGUUGUGGCAGAAUCUUCUUGCCCAGACAAGGGGAAGUCUCUACAAGUGGUGAGGCCACAGGUGAUAGAGCCAACUAGUGAUAUGCCACCUCCCAAGAUUGUUGAUGAGGUAACCUUUUACAUCACUUUUAUUUUCACUUUGUUUAUUGUAGUGAAAACCUUCAAUAAUGGCAUUUUUCUUUACAGGAUGCUGAUGAGAUUGUGCGUUCUAUUCAGGACUUGUUCGCUUCCUGGGGGCAAGUCAAGACGUCUCGCCCUGCUUCAACCGGUCGUCCUUCUGCUUCUUCAGAGGAAGAUAUGAAGUUCCUCAAACAGUCGAUAUUUGAGUAUGUAUCCUUUAUGGACAUGGACAUCGGUCAGGCUAGUGCUGCCAAACAUAAGGAUAAACUCGAGCAUUUGUGUGCGAAGUUGGCGAAAGCACUGACACUUCCGUCGCUCAACAUUUCUGCUGAUUUUAAAGCGACGUUGAAAGUUGUCCACUCUGACAUCCUCUCUUUGCUGGCCAAAAAUAUUGAACUGAAGGCCAAGAGUACUCAAUAUCUUCACGCUGCAUCUGAGAGAGAGUCUUUGCUUCGGGAGAUCAACAAAGCUGAGGACGAAUUAAAAGAAAUCUCUUCCGAAGUUAUGAUUAAAGACUCUUUGAUGACCAGUUUGGCUACACAGAUGAAGGAGCUUCAAGAAAGGAUGGAUGACUGCAAGGCGAGAAUAGCUGCUAGAAAGCGUAAUGCUUCCCAAGGAAUUGAGGGAACCAAGUCUUUGGUCGAGCAAUACAAGAAACUGGAGGUUGAUGAUGAUUUUGUAGCUGAAUUGAAUGUCACUUCUUCUCAGCAGAGCGAGGAUUGGGGAAGACUUAGGGAAAGAAUUCGUUCGGUCUGGGGCGAAUUGUAAUUAAGACAUCUAAUGCCUUAACUUUUCUUUUUGUAAUUUCGUAUUAACUUUCCUCUUGUAACCUCGUACUGAUAGCUAUUGCCAAUUUUGGAUGUAACAGCAGCCAUUGUAAUUAACGAACAACUAAUUUGUCUUCUUGUGUAUUUAUUGACGUUUGUCCUUAAUCGUCAACCUCCCAAACAUUUAACUGCUUUACGAUAAGAUUCAUGUACAUUCUCUUUUGGUAUUUCUAUCUCUUUUUCCAAGACUUUGGGACGUUUGACUCCAAUCACUAGGCACGAAUGUGACUGUUCAUAUUCUGUCUCUUCACCUUCACGCCCCCAUAAAUGCACGUAUAUGUCGCACUUUUCAUUUUCAUUUCCAUUCUUUUCUUCAAAACUAAUUUGCUGCCAUCGUUUGGCAUCUCAACGAUCGAUCUAAAAUUUUCGUCUUCCAUAGAAAUGGAUCAUUUGAUCCGCCCAUUUUGCCACCUGUUUUGAUGUCAUCUUUGGUAUAGGAGAUAUAGAAAAUAUUCUUUGGCCAGCAAAGUUCUUCCCAUCGUCUCCAUGUUCUUUACAAGGAGUUCAAUGAUGGAAGACAAUUUUUUAGGAUGCCUGUCAAGCCACCUUGCUUGCUGAGAGUGCUUCUUAGUCUCCUUGCCCGUUAUUGCAGCGAUGUAUUUAGGUAGGCGAGGUGAGGGUGCUUCUCUUCCCUUCUGCUUGCUGAGAGUGCUUCUCAGCUUCUUUGCUUGCCUUUGCAGCAGUGUGAUCAGGAUGGCAAUCAAGGCCAGUUCGCCCUCUUACUUGGCGAUCGACCGGGGGAGAUUAGUUCGCUCUUAAUUGUAGCUUAUAGAGCAUUUAGUAUUUUGUAUCUUGCAACUUUGUAAUGAACGUUUGAUAAUAAAGGAAUUUAUUUGAACGUAUUUCGCUCUGGCCUUUUUUUAUCUACGAUCGUUCAACGCGAUUUGAUUACACUUUUAUUUGUUCACUUUCCCAUAAGGAAGGAACAUAUUUUUUUAAAUAUUUGCCAUUAAUGAACCUCAUGUGCUUGGUGCCAUCUAAAUCUUUCAAAUGAUAGGCUCCAUUAGGUAACACACUAUUUACUUUGUAUGGUCCUUUCCAAUUGGGCGACCACUUGCCAUACUUUGGAUCUUUGCUAUCUAAAGGGAGUAUUGUUUUCCAAACCAAUUUGCCCAGGCUGAACGACUUGGCUAUAACUUUUUUAUUAUAAAACUUAGCCAUCCUUCGUUUUUGAAUUUGAAAUCUAUCUAGAAUGUCCAACUUUAAUUCGUCCAACUCCAAUAAGUUUUGAACUAGUGAUUUGGUAUACUCAUCAUUACUUAACUUAUGUUGCAAACGCACUCUGAUCGAUUGCACGUUGAUCUCCAUAGGCAAAACGACCUCCUGUCCAUAAGUAAGUUGGAAAGGAGUAAUUUUGGUACUUGACCGAGGCGACGUCCUAUAAGCCCAUAAGGCCUUGUUUAGACAUUCGUGCCAAUUUCUGACAUUUUCAUCUAUCAUUUUUCUUAUGAUAUUUUUUAAAACCUUAUUAGAAGAUUCUACUUGUCUGUUGGAUUGAGCAUAAUAUGGUGUGGAGUUUACUAAUUUAACUCCAAACUCGCUCAAGAAUUUAUUCACUUGAUCUCCAUUUAAAGAAGUUCUGUGAUCUACCAUCAAAGUUUGUGAAAUUCCAAAUCUACAAAUAAUAUGAUCACGGAUAAAUUCUAUGACAUUCUUUUGGGUGAUCUCGUUUAAAGGUAUCGCUUCUACCCACUUAGUGAAAUAAUCAGUUGCAACUAUAACAAAGGUAUGCUGCUUGGACGAUGGGGGAUAAAUCUUCCCUAUUAGGUCUAUCGCCCAACCCUUAAACGGCCAAGGUUUGAUAAUAGGUACCAUCUCUCGUGCUGGUGCCUUUUGUAUUGGACCAUACUUUUGGCAUGCUAGACAACUCUUUGCAUACUGAACGCAUGAUUCUCCCAUCUUGAGCAAAAAAUAUUCAUUCGUAAUGAUUAACCAUCUCAUCCUUUGGCCAGCUUGAUGAGCCUCACAUAUCCCUUCUUGCACUUCAUCCGUGAUCGUCCUGGCUUCUUGCAAACUUACACAUUUUAGCAAUAUACCAUCAGAGCGUUUCUUAAACAACUCUUCAUCUAUCAGUGUAUAGUUUAGCAAACACAACUUCAUUUUUUUACUAUUUCCUUUAUUAGGUUCUUUAAGGAACCUUUUAAUCUCUGCCCUCCAAUCUAUUGCAUCUCCAUCUUGUAUGCAAUGAAUUUCAAUCGUUCUAGCCCUUUUUUGGACUACGGGCAAUAUUGUUCCAUACUCAUAGUAGACUUCCAAUUUAAAACUUUCGAGUACCCUGAGACCAUUUGGGCUAACUCAUUUGCCACGUCAUUAUAUAUCCUAUUAACGCAUUGAAACUCUAUUUGGUCGAAUUCUUCCAACAACUCUUGUGCGAUUUCAUAUAGACUUAUAAUGGAAUCAUUUUGGCACUUAAAAUCACCAAUCAAUUGGUGAAUGACCAACUGAGAAUUGCCUCUAACGAUCACAUUCUUUACUUCCAUAUCUAUUAUUAAUUCUAAACUCACGAUUAAGGCUUCAUAUUUGGCUUGAUUGUUGGUGCACAUCCUAUCCAAGGUGAAUGCGAACUUGUAGCAAAUUCCUAAAUGAUUUAUCAAUGCUACUCCUAUUCCUGCACCUUUUGAGAUUUUUGACCCAUCGAAAUAGAAAACCCAAGAUUUUAAUUCGAAUGAAUUGAUUUCUAAUUCAAUUUUUUUAGGCAUGUCAAGGCAUGGAUGAUCGGCCUGAAAGUUAGCCAAAGCCUGAUUUUUGAUUGCCUUUUGGGGUAUGUAUUGUAUUUCGAAUUCUGAUAAUACUAACGUCCAAAGGCCUACCCUUUGGUAUAAAAUAGGGCGAGAAAACAUAUACUUAACCAAAUUUACUUUGGAAAUCAAAUAAACGGUUACGGGCCGUAAAUAAGCCCUUAAUUUUGUACAUGUGAAAUACAAUGUAAGACAUAAUUUUUCAAUGGCAGAGUAAUUACAUUCACAUUUUGUUAACCGUCUACUCAAAUAGUAAAUCGCCCUUUCUUCACCAAAUUGGUCUUCUUGCACGACCAUUCCAGCAAUUGAUUCUUUUUCAAUCAAUACAUACACUUUCAUUGGCCGUCCUUGGGAUUGGUGACACCAACACUGGUGGACUUGAUAAAUAUGUCUUUAGGCUUUCGAAAGCCUUUUGAUGCUUUUCUUUCCAAAAAAAUUCGUCCUGAUUUUUCAACUUUAAAAGCUGCGAAAAAGCUUUAGUUCGCCCUGCACAGUUAGAAAUAAAGCGUCUUAAAAAGUUUACUUGGCCUAGAAACCUUUGCAAUUCUUUUUUGUUGUUAGGUGGUUUGACCUCUAAAAUGGCCUUCGCUUUAUUUUUAUCAAGUUCAAUCCCCCUUUUGUGUACUAAGAAACCAAGAAAGUUUCCUGCAUUAACAUCAAAUGCAUAUUUCAAGGGAUUCAAUUUUAGUUUAUAUUGUUUCAUUCGCUCAAAUGAACAUCUCAAUUGUUCAAAAUGGUCCUCUUCUUUAAUGGAUUUGACCACUAUAUCAUCUACAUACACCUCAACAAACUUGCCUAUCAUAUCAUGAAAAAUCAGGUUCAUCGCCAUUUGAUAAGUUGCUCCUACAUUUUUCAGGCCGAAAGGCAUAACUACCCAUUUAAAACAUCCUAGAGACCCAGGGUAUCUAAAGGCAGUUUUGUGUAUAUCUUCCUCAGCUAUAUAAAUUUGAUUGUAUCCUGAAUACCCAUCCAUGAAGGAAUACAUUACGUGUCCGACAGUUGAGUCUACUAGAGAGUCUACUGUGGGUAUUGGAUAUUCAUCUUUGGGUGUGGCUAUGUUUAAAUUCCUAAAGUCUAUGCACACCCUUAAUUUACCAUUCUUUUUUAACACUGGCAUGAUAUUGGACAACCAAUUCACAUAUCUGGCUGUUCUAAUAAAGCAUGCUUUUAAUAAUCGCUCUAUUUCUUUCUUAAUCUCAGAAAGUAUAUUAGGAGCAAAACGCCUAGGAGGUUGCUUAUGAGACUUAAAAUUUAGCUUGGUUGGCAACCUAUGUUCCACCAAAUCUCUAUCUAAACCAGGCAUAUGUUCAUAUUCCCAAACAAAACAAUCUUUAUAUUCCUUUAAUAAAGCGAUUAAUUUAUCACUAACCUCUUGAUCGAGCAUUUGGCUGAUGAAUAUUGGGCGAUCUUCUCCUUCAUUGCCAAUAUUCACUUUAAUCAGAGGGUCUUGUGCUUGAGCGUAUCCAGGCUUGGCAAUCCUCAUCACUUCAUCAUCCAAUUCCCUUGUAGGCACUUCUUCUUCUAAACAAUCCACUUUGUUGACUUCUCGGCCAAUACUUUGUUUCAACUCGAACACUGCCAAUUUGCCUCUCAAUGCUUUCAAGACUGCUUCUUCUUUCGUCUUGUCCUUGCAUUCUUUAUUGAAAACCAUUAAUUUGACUUUGAAGGCUUGAAUAUCGGUCAUUUGCCUUUGUUACUUACAACUCAUUUAAAACUCCUUGAUUACUCUUUUGCCAAUUACUGGCUCUUCUAGUGCCACUAUGUUUGGCCUCAUCUGAUUGAACAUUUCAGUGAGUGCUUCCACUGAAAACGGCUCUUCAGUCUGUGUGACAAUUUGAGUUUCUUCUCCAUCUUGGACUACUCUGACAGGUCCAUAAUUUCUUUCAUACAUGAACCUUUCUACUGAGUUUGCUUCUGCAACAAAAGGUCUAUGAUCGACCUGCAUCACUUCUGCUUCGCCUUUGUCAUUCCAAAAAAUCAGACAUUGAUGGAGCGAUGAGGGUAUACAGCGACUUCCGUGUAUCCAAUCUCUUCCUAAUAACACAUUGUAACUAGUAGGACAAUCUAUUACGAAGAAGACUGUGGUCCUAGUAGUUGUCCCUAUAGUUAUGUCCAAUGGCAUAACCCCUUUAGCUGAAGUUGCUCCUCCAUUGAAACUCGUAAGGACAACUUCUGUUGGGAUCAUAUCGCUUUCUGUCUUUGCAAAUUUCCUCAUCAUCCUAGAUGGAAUGGUGUUUAUAGCUGCUCCAUUGUCGACAAGCACUUUUGUCACAGGUAUGCCAUUAACUAGAGUUUUAACGUACAGUGACCUCAAGUGUUUAGUUAACUCCAUGGCUGGCUGCUUAAAAAUAACCUUUUCGGUAGCAUCUAUUUCUACUUCCUGCUUGUCCUCUGUUAAGUCAUCCUUUUGUGAUAAGUUAACGUGCAGCAUGUCGUACUGAGCUUCCAUUUCCUGCAUUUUCUUUUUAUUGUUUUCUAAUGCUUCUUCUUCAGUUACCCAACCUGUGGGAGGGGGCAUUAUUUUUGGAGGUGAUCCAUACUUUUCAGAGCAAGGCACUGUCUUUUUCCUUUUGGGCGUCCCGCACAGCACGUAAUAAUCGAAAGAACGCCCAGACGGUUUUCCUAACAAGUCCAUUUCACGAACCCCCUCUCGAUGUAGUUGCUUCAACAGAGUAUUGUACGAUACUCCUCUUUUUCUUCUUUCUGCUUCCAAGUCAAUUUCCUCUUCAAUAUCCGUCAUACCAUCAUCUCCUUCAUCAUCGUAGGCCCCUCUAGAAGUUUGACCUUCUUCAUAUUCUAGCACGCAUGCUUCUUCUUCAUUAUCCUCCCCUUCUUCUACUUCUUUCUCUUUAUUCUUGAACUCAUUGGCUAGCAAAUAGUUAUUAGCCAUGACAUGAGGUAAUGUACCGAACUGAAUAGUAAGGGACUGAUCUGGAUCUUCUCCAUCUCUUAUGUCUCUCUCAAACUUCGACCUCCCAGAAGAACUUUCUGGCAAUUCUUUCAUCGAUUCGCCUGUACCAGUGUCCUCACUGUCUUCGAGAAUAUUUUGAUUGGCCACCUCGAGUAGCUUAGGCGCCUUAGAACGUGGUACUCCCUGUUGUUGCCUCAUCAUUCGUCUAUAGUUCCGUUGAAAACGCCUUUGUUGAGUUCUAGUCAUCUCGUUGAAUGGUAUCGCUCUUCCUGCAUUAUAUUGGAACGAAUGCCAUACAUUUGGUUGGCGAGGCUGCGGCCUGAAUAUUCUCCCAUUAUUCACUAGUCUGAACUACCUUUCAAAAGACGGUCCCCUAUAGAAUGAUGUACCUCGUCCUAUACCAGCUGAGCGUUUGGGAAAAAAAUUAGGGCGACGGUGAUGCUACCAUAUCCCUGGUUUCUCUGUACUCCCACUUACUUCUUUUUUACAUCUUGCACACAAGACAUCUUCAUCCUUUUCAGGCUCUUUCCCUUUGAUACGUUCAAAGACACUAUGAUGUGGUCCAGGGUCCUCUUUCCCGUCAUCUAUAACUAACUUGAAUUUUGGCAACUUGUUUUUGAAACCAAUCGUCACCAUGUUCACCCCAAGUGGCUGUGGAAAAGGGUUUUCAUCCACUGCCAUCUUUCUCUUAUCCUCGAACGUAAUUCUUCCUGAUUCAAUGACAUCCUGUAACACAUGGCGAAAAACAAAACAGUUAUUAGUCAAAUGUGACCAUGCAUUAUGCCACUUACAAUAUUUUUUACCCUUAACUUGUUCAGGGCUUAGCAAUUUAUGUUUAUCGCUCAGUUUUAUCUGCUUAUCCUUAUCUAGUUUAUCAAAUAUAAGGUCAGCUAUGGUUACAUCGAACGAGAACGUUCUAGCCUUUUUGUUUUCAUCUUUUAUAGGCUCAUCUUUGCCCAACGGUCUAGGUUUAGCCAUUAUAGGACAAGUAUACGUGUCUUCUUUGAUUAAUUCGGCCAAACACAUUUCGGUUUGAUAGUAAUACUCGUCAUUAAUGGUAUGAAUAUCAAAAUUUGGGUCUCUAUAAUAAGUCCCCUUACUAGAAUUUUUCAUUUGCUCUUCUUCUCUUAUUAAUCGUUCAUACCUAAUCACGUUCGCGCUCAAUUGGAAAGAUCGGGAAAUUCUUUGUCUUGAAAUUUCUUUUUCAAAUUAAAGGUUAGACAACCUUGAGCGAUUUUGACAAACUUCUUUUCGGGCAAAGAUACAAAAUAUUUACUUCUUGCUAUCUUGAACCUUUGAAGGAAACCUUCUGCCCAUUCGUUUGGCAUUUGACGUAGAUUCGUCAAAUCGGUCAAAGUAAUUUCGGACUCGGUCUUAUAAAACUGAGCGUGGAACAAUUGCUCCAAUUGUUGCCAUGUUUGAAUAGAGUUCGCUUACAAAUUGAUGAACUAGGAAAAAGCUACUCCUGUUAAUGAAUUAGGGAACAACCUUAUUUUAUGGUAAUCAGUUACGUCACCACUUUGUAGUGUGAAUCGCCCUAUGUGUUCUAGAGUAGACACCUCUCCUAAACCGGUAAAUAGUGAGAAUUCUGGCACUUUAGACCCUCUAGGCCAUGGAUAAGCCUGGUCUACCCAAUCAGGAUAUGACUUUGUGUAAGUCGGCCUAAUGACAGGACGUACCCCAAAAGCCAUCUGAUCCUAUACUGUUUCCAUAAUUUGAUUCCUCAAUAUAACAUUGGGGUCAUAUGGAAUUCCUAUAGGUUGGUUGACUGGUUGAUUUGCUUGAGGCCUGAUAUUUGGUCCUUGGUUGGCAACAAAGUUGCUAUGAUUUGGGUCAUUGUUACCAUUAGCCUGAAUAUUUAUUCCAUCAUUAACACGUGGGGCAUUCUGUCCAUUAUUUAGGACAUUGUCUCUUACAUUUAGGUUACCCCCCAAGUUAGAUGUACCAUUGCCACUAUUUUGAUUUGGCAUUACACCAUCCCCUUGGUUUGAAGUAGAGAGACUAAAAGGUGGUUCUACCCCUUGAUUUGGACCUAGGAUUGGGGGAUUAUGUCCCACAAUUGUCCUAGCUUGGAAGUAAUUUGCAAGAAGCACAACUGGCUGACAAAUUUGGCCUACUAACUUAUUCAUUAUUUCAUUCAAAGUAUUCAGUUGUUUGGCCAUGUUAUCAUAAUGUGCAUUCCCAUUCUGGGUAAAUCUUUCCAUAUUAUGAAUAUUUCGUAGAUUUACCUAUUCAACGACAUCCUGUGUGAGUUCUCCAAGUAAUGCACGCAUAGUUCGAGAACUCAACUCUGUUAUUGGUUCGUAACGACUAUGACUGCUCUGAUUAUGUCCAUCUGUUCAUGGAGAGCUAUGCUACUUCUCAUAUCGCUCGAUCACAUACUGGACUUCUCCCUGACUUGCUUCCUUAUCAGAUUUCUGAGGCAUAUUGUUUCACCCUUUGUAUUUUCAACACCAAACACCAAGGUCCCAUUGGGCGUGCCAAAUUAUUUCGCGCGGGUAGUCGCUAACAAUUAAAAAGGGAUCAGACGAUUAUGUAAGGAACAAACCUCUUAAAAUAAAAUCCCAAAAAGGGGUGUUUUAUUGGCGAUGACUUUACAAUUGGAACUAAACAGAAUGCAUCCAAGGGGCGCAAGCACAUGAGUACUGAAAAGAAAUGUUUAAGUCUAAACUAAAAAAUUAAAAUUACAUAUUCUCUAUUUGAGAGUGUUUGAUUCAAGGUUCUUUGUUCUAUGUCUUCUCUUCCUUUUAUAUUCUCUUGAUGAUUUCUUUGUGAUCAACCGUUUAGAAACUGUUUGAUUGUUUUAUAACUACCCACUUCCUUUAUGGUGGCUAUCGUGUCGUGGAACUGUCGUCUCUAACUACUGCCACUACUCUUUGUCGUUCAACUGAACUCCUUGAAUCAUGGAACGUGAUAAGGUUACUUGAUAACUGAUUCAAUAACUGCACUUCUGGAUAAUCAUAAUAUCUAAUGUUUGCUAAGAUCCCGGGCAAUUUGAAGGUUUGGGCGAGAACAGUGCCAUAGCUCUGGCGACUGUAAGGCACUUCAUUUGCUCAGAUCUUGGGCAUCUUGUAAGUUUGGGCAAUGAUGUUACCAUAUUCGUGGACUUCCACUGCAUUCAUUAGUAAUCUUAUUUGGGCCUUUAUCCUAAAUUUCCCAGUUGGACUUCAUUCUUUGGGCUAUUUGAUUUGGGGAUUCCCUAAUUGGGUUUUAUUCCUUGGACUAUUCGAUUUGAACUGUACUUUUAGUGUGUCAACACUACUUAUUCUUCAAAAAAAAUUAUUAUGCUCAUUUUUAAUUUGAAAAAAAUGGAAGCCAAACGGGACUAAGUUAAAGCGGGAAAAGUAGAACAAAAUUGAAUAAAACUAGUCAAAUGGGCUAAACGACAUAGGUUCUUUACAAGGGAUGUGUUGGCCAUUUUUGAUUGGCAACCUUCUGUUUCACCCUUUUUUUAACUACAAAUGAAAGUUCGCCUAGUGUAUGUAUAAAAAAGCCUGUCAAUGAGCCCGUUCCUAUAACAAUGUUGAACAAAAUUUAUUUAUGAAUUGAAAUUAUAAAUGUUUUGUGAGAUACUCAUAAUUACAAUUUGUUAGGUGGCACCAGCAGAGCUUGAAGAGCUUCUUCUUACUCACUCUGAAAUAACAGAUGCUGCUGUUAUCCCGUAAGUAGGCAGACUCGUGCUUUAGCUAAGCCUAAAAAUUUACUAUACUGUGAAAGUAAUCUAUAAAAAUAAGCAAUUUUUUUUUUUUUUUACUUACAAAUUCCGAAUAAUUGCCCUUUCGUAGAUUCCAGGACGCCGAAGCUGCUGAAGUCCCUAUUGCAUAUGUUGUCCGGUCAUCCAACAGCUCACUGUCUCAAAAACAGGUUAAAAGAUUUAUAGCAGAGCAGGUAAUUAAUUAAUUUAAUUCUGUAUAUUUUCUUAUUUAUUUGAUUUUUGGCAAAUGUAUAAUUUUCCCAAUACUUAUCACAGGUUGCCCCAUUCAAGAGAUUGCAAAGAGUGAUUUUUAUUGACAACAUUCCAAAAUCAGCCUCUGGAAAGAUUCUGAGAAGGGAGUUGAGACACAAAAAUCUAUCGAAACUGUAACUGCGAUUGCUUCAUUAGAGAAAAUUAAAAUAAACCAAAUCACGCAAGCCCUAGUAGUUUAGGAGUAAGUCUGAAUACGAAGAAGAGGAAAUGAAAAGAACAAAACGAAAUUGUACUUUGUGUUGAACAUAAUUUUGAGUAGUUCAAAACAAUUCGGUAUGUUUAAAAUAUAGUUAUUUUGCUCCAAUAAGAUGGUUGCUGAUGUUGAUUAUACAUACAAAAGGUCUAGAAUUAUCCAAAUAUCAUCAAUCCUUGUUGAGACUUCGACAAUCUCAACUCUCUUCAUAAAAGAGUCUAAGCUGCCAUCCCAUUCACGUGUAUUUGAUAGGAAUAAUUGAAUAGUAUUAGAUUGUGUCAAAGAAGAACAAAGUUAAAAUUCUAUUCACAUAAUGUUGUAAUUAGAUUGUAUCAAAAAAGAUUUAUAGAAAGUGACAUGAUAUGGUGUUUUUUUUUUUUUUUUUUUUUUUUUUUUAAAAUUUAAAGGUUUUUUUUUUUUUUUUUUUUUUUGUCGUUUUAAUCAUAUGAAACAAUCAUGUAGGAGGAUAGAAUAUGGAGCUCCAGCCCCUACCAGUCUUGUUAGCAGACUUAUAUUGGCAAAGACGCAUGACAUUCUUUCUAUUGUUCACAAGUACAGAGGUGGACAGAAUUUUUUUUUUGAUUAAAAUAUCACAGGCCAUCGGGCCAUGUAAUUUGGCCUUUAUAAAUAAUUUUUGUUUUAUCUAAACUUACAGUAUGCUUAUAGAAACAUUUUAAACUAAUAUUCAACUGGUACUUAGUUUCUAUUUCACACACUGAAAUUUGGAUUUUUUUUAUUUUUAUUUUUUAAACAAUACCUAUAUUAACAUCACGAUUUUAAAAGUUCAAUUAAGUUCAUUAAUUAGAAAGUCAUAUAAUGUGCCCUUUUUCAUAAAAAGUCACUGUUGCUGUGCUUAGAGCAAAUUAGUCAUCGUUGAUUUUUGAGCGAUCUAGUUUUUGGUCAUUAUGGCUACAAUGGUUUGUUGUCGCUGCACUUAUUCACCUUCGACUAGAUCUAAUUUUGCGAUCUAUAGUUGUUUAGUUUGUCGUUGAUGAUGGUGGUGGGCUUAAGCGCCGUUGCUAGUGGUGGAAAAUGAUGGGAAAUAUUGGAGUAAUCGAUGUCGAAAUUUUUGGGGUAUUUGGUGGUGGUUCGCAAAUGACGAUGGUGAUGCAGGCGAGGUGGCGUUGGUGAUGUCGACUAUGGUUGUGGUAGUUACUGACUGAUUAUUUUGGAUAUGAUUUUUUUGUGGAGUUCACGUGGUGAUGGUUGUGAUUUCGACUGUGAUGGUGAAGUGGUGAUGAUUUUGGCGAUGGUGGGGGUGGUCAACAUGACUAAGGUGUGGUGGUCAUGGGUGGAAUGGGGAUGUUUGUGAUCAAUUAUUUGAUUAAUUGUAACCAGUAAAUAAUAUGUGACAUUAUGAACAAUAGAUAAUAUAUGACCCAAAAAUUUGAUUCGUGACUUACAAAAUUUGUGAUUUGUGACCAAUAAAUAAAUUGUGAACCUAUAAACUUUUUGAUUUGUGACCAAUGAAAUAAUUGUCCUAUAAAAUUUUUGAUUCAUUGUCAAGAAAUAAUUUGUGACCAAUUAAUUCAAUGAUUUGUGAUCAAAUUUUAUAAAAUUGUUAUCUUAAUAUAUUAAAUUAAUAAAAUAUAUUUUGUAAAUAAAAUUUAAUUAAUAUCUGAUUUUUGAAAUUUUGAACCUAGUUUCUUAAUCUUGAAAUUGAUCAUACUUAAUCUCAUAGAUAUGAAUUUUUCCUCAACAAAAUUUCGGAACAAUACAUAAUUAAGGUAUUAACUAUACACAAUUUCAAUUUUAAGAAGCUACAUCUAAACUUUCAAAAAUCAAGUCAUAAUUAUGAUUUUAUUAAUUAAAAAUAUAUUUUUUAAAUUUAAUAUAUUCUGGUCACAACAUCACAUAUUUUUUGAUCACAAUUGCUCGAUUAUAAGUCACAACUUAUUCGUCGAUCACAAAUUUUCAAAUUAAUUGGUCACAAUUUAUUUUGUGAUCAUAAAUUAUAUAAUUUUUAGGUCACAAUUAAAUGGUUAACACAUUAUUUUCCGAUCACAAAUCACGAAUUUUAUAAGUCACAACUUAUUCAUCUAUCACAAAUUUUAAUUUUCUGAUCACAAAUUAAAAUAAUUUUUAGGCCACAAUUAAAUUGUUGGUCACAACUAACCAAAUACCAAGUCACAAAUUAAUCUCAUCCCACGCCCCCAUCACUGUCACCACACUAACACCAAAACUGCCGAGAUCCCUCGCCACAGCCACCAAUACAACACUCAAACAAGUCACCGCCACCGCACAAAAACCAGAUUCGCCACCACAGCCACCACCGCAACACAUCAAACAAAUCAUUGCCAACACACAAGCAUCAGAUCCGUCAAGAUCCACCACACAAAAAUCAUCUCCACCACCUUCCCAGAUUGACGACCACCUCAUCAUGGAAACACCACCACAUCACAGAAAUAUACCACCAUAUCUCAAAACCAACAAAUCCGUCGAGAUCUACCUCACCAGGAAGAGACCGCCAUCGGUAGAGAGUGACAGAUCCAUAGCCAUCUCCACAACCCCUGACUACAUCAACUGGCGGAGAUCCACAGCCCCUGACUACAUCAACACCCCCCGCAAACAGAACACGCCAACAUCCCCACAGAUUCACUACAUCCCUGCGUGCGACGGCGAGGCGAUCUAAGAACAAAGUCAGGUUUUUGCAGCGACGACGGCAGCGACACCUGAGCAGAGAGACGGUGGUGAAGAGAGAGGAGUGGGCGGCGGACGGUGGUGUGGAGAGGAGCGGAGAUGAGAGAGAGAUCAAUUUAGAGCUUGAAUGGAUAGAUAGGGUGGGGUGGUGGGGUGUAUGUAUAUUAGAUUAAUUUAUAGUAUUAUUAUUAAAAAUAUUCAUUUAUGAUAUUUAAAUUAAGAUCUGAAUUUUGUAUAGAGAAACUUUUGCUCUUAUUUUUCAAAUUGAAUAUUUAAAAGUAAGAUAGUGUGUAAUUUUCUCAUAAAAUUUCUAUUUUGGGCCAACUCUUUUAAUGUUAGGCCCGGCAUAAUUUAAGGUUGGGUUUGAUUGGUCUGGCUGUGAAUGUGAAUGACUUGGGCUUAACAAGUCUCAGCCUCCUUAGAAACAAGGGAAAAUUUUUAUGAUAACAAAUGUUUGAAAAAAUAAUUUCAAAAAAAAUAAACUUAUAAAAUUUUUUGAAAAAUCAAGUAAUCAUAUUUUGUGAUAUUUGAUAAAAUAUUGUGACAUAUAAUUAAACAGGUCACGGUGAUAAUAACACAAAAUUUAAGGUCAUGUUCACAUAUUAGUCACAAAUUACACAAUGUUAGGUUAUAAUCACAAAAAUACAUUUUAUGGGUCACAACCACGUAUUUUAUUUGAAAAUCACACAUUUAAUAACUCGCAAAAUUACUCAAUUGAUCAUAAACACUAUUCACCCCACCCCACCCCACGCCACCACACCACACUCCUGAGUCCACCACUAUAAAACUACCUUAAGGCUUAAACGCACCACCAUCACCACCAAAACUCACCUCAAAUCCACCACCUCCAUCUCAAAAUCACCACCACCACCACCAUCACUAUCGCAAAUUCUUUGUCAUAAAUCUACAGCCAUCACACAACACAUUCAAAUGUCUUUAUUGCGAAUUAGUCUUUGACUUUUCCUGGCAUAUUCAUAGUCAAAACAGUAAAAUCUUAGUGAGUUAUAGCUAGUCAUUGUACUCAAGGAAAAUGUCGAGUGUGUUAUAACAAUUCUUGUAAAAUUUCAAGCAAUAAAAUUCAGAUUUCUCAGUUAUCUAGCUUCUAUACCCAACAAGAGAUACGGUAAUAGUUUGACAGAGUACAAUAGCUUAAACUCACAAGUAAUAUUUCUAAAUAUAAGAUCACAUAUUUUUUAAUAUUCAUAUGAAGGUAACAGAACUUAGAAAGCUCAAGAAGUUUACUUUCUAGGCAUUCUGUACAAUUUAAAAAGCUGCAUAAGAGAAAACAAUUGUUACUGGCCAUAGCAACGGAUUAUUUAUCAACUACAAAUUGUAAAUCUAGGGAAGAUUGAUAAAAAAGUUUAAUAUUCCCAAAUCUGAGUACAAGUUGGGAAUGAUCCUGUGAAUGCACAAUUUUUACUGGCUCAUGUUUCGUGUUAAUUUCAAGGUGUCGUAAAUGUGAUUAAGAAUGGUUCCAAGAAUAAAAUAAUAACCAAACCAACCAACGCAACGUUGAAAGGAGAAAUGUUUAAAAGGGAGAAACGAGAUCUAUACAAUAAUUUAAAAGGUAAGCAAUUUAUAAUCAUAUGGCAGAGUAUGACACUUGUGCACUGCAUACUAUGAAAAACAACUUAUCAAAUCUUCUUGGUUAUGUUGCCAUCCAAAUUGGCUUUCGUCGAACCAUUUACGGGCCCUCUAAUGCUAGAUGCUCAAUAAGUGAAUGAUCUCUACUGCUAGAUAAAUUUCUUGGGAAGCAACUUGAUUCUACAUCUCAAACUAUAUUAAUUUAUACCCAGUCACGGAUAUCACAUAGAGAAACUCCUACAUCACUACUAAUUAGAAAUGGAAUAUUUAGCAUUUACUAAAUGUACUUAAAAUUUUUUAUUGUUCACUUGUUGAAGUUCAAAUUAUUAGUCUUAACUGAAAUAGAGAAUGUCAAAUAGAGAAUGCAAAAUUUCAAGUAGAAUUCAUGACAAAUAAUGUUACGCCCCCCUAACUGAACCACUUCGAAAAGUCCACCACCACAUCAGGCGAGGUGUGGAAUGCUCAUCCGAAGUGGUUCCCCUAACUGGUUCCGAUGUGACUUCACCAAUGGAGAUGACCUGCUAUCACCCGACGAGGCAUAGGUAAUUCUGCAGGACUGAUCGAAGCGCCCUUGCCCCCUGAAUCCGAGGCGAAAUGAACCCCGUGGACCUCGGCCUGAGGAUCCGCCGUCGAUUUCAGAAUGAGAUCUUUGUCAAGAUCUUUUCUGCCCCUAAGGUUUAAAGUGAUUUGACGUCUUCAUGAGACUAGUUGAUGUGACCUAUCAACUUUAUGUCAACUCAACUCGGGAAAAGUAACUACCCGCCCACUCUACAGACGCGGCUGAUUGAUACCUAUGAGCAGACGCCUCAUACCGUUCAGAUGUAUACAUGUGUCUUACAUCCAACGGCUCUCCUCACCUAUAAAUACCCAAGGUUUGGCAAGAGGCAAAGGUAAUGAAACUCUUCCUAUUUAGUACUCCAUAACAAGCAAAUAUAUAUUCUCCUCCCCACUAUUUUGCACAACCUUGGUACUAUUUCGAUCACUUGAGCCUAACUUGACUGUCGGAGUGUAUACAGCCGUCGUCACCCACGCUGGUCCCGACCGUAUGCAUCUGACCGUGCGUUGAUUGUGCGCAGGGAGGAAUACGUGGAGUGGCUAUCGGUUGGCCACGUGGAGGGUCCAAUUUUCGAGGUCAAUAGAUUGACGCCGUCUGUGGGAAACUUCCCGUUCAAAGUUCUACAUUCUCCACCGGAUAAAACACCGAAAAACUAGCAACUUACCCUGAAAAGGGCACGUUCUUGAAAAAAGAACAAAGUCGAGUUAUAUCCUAAAUUCUUAUUACCCUUGAAAAAGGAGAUAAAAUGAGUUCCAGUCAUGAAGACGACAAUCUCAUGAGAGAGGCCUCUGAAGAAGAGGUUCUCCAUAACAAUAUCACUCACCAGAGACCCCAUCACCGGCGUCGCCGAGGGGCAAGAAUAGCCAUGCUCACUGAAGGGAUGGCUCAAAUAGCGGCGGGCAUGAGAGACAUCGCAACUCAGAAUAUGGCGAUGCACGAACUUCUCAUGCAAGCCUAAGGUCAUCAGGGCUAUCAAAUGUCCCAAGGAUCUUACCUAGUGCAGGAAGCCCCUGAAUCUCGUUCCCGAGGCCAUAUGAGCUGGCACAGAGAACGCCCCCUCAAAAGAGAAGUGGGCGUGGAAGCCACAUCCUAUGUACAGGGACGCCAGCUAGCGGAACCAUAGCUAGGGGACAAUUUCCCUCAAGAAUAUGAGGAACAAAGGUCAGUAAGCGUCUUCGACCGAAUAGGACAGGACCCUAGUAAUAGGGCCCACUCAGUGCAAAGAUCAGUUCAAAAAGACCAGGAACAAGAACAGGCGCCUCCUCCUAGAAGUAGGAGGGAUAGGAGGAACCUAGUCGAUUGGGAAAGCCGAGGAGAAGCACAUCCACCUCCCCAGGAUAUUCAAGACGAUGAAGGGUCAGAUGGGCCCUGUCGAUCUUAUGAGAUCGAUGACGAUGAUGAUAACGUCCCUUUCUUAAGAUCCCCAAGUAUGAAGGAAAGGGGGACCCGGAGAAGCACCUCACCAAGUACAUAACACAGAUGAGCCUCAGGAGAGCCUCGCCUGCUUUGAAAUGCAGAGCGUUCCACUUAACCCUGGGCGGAGCUGCUGAAGUGUGGUAUAGCAGACUUCCUCUCCCGAGCAUUAGGAGUUGGCCAGAUUUGAAGAAGGCAUUCUUAAACUAAUACCUCUCACGCAGGGAAGGAGAGGCCCCUGUGCAACGCUUGCAGGAUAUGAGGCAGGCCCCUGGAGAGACGCUGAAAAGCUAUCUCGCUAGGUUUAUAAACGAAAUCACAUACUGCAAACAUGUUACUGACAGGGAAGCCCUUUUAGUUCUGAAAGGCGGCCUCAACAUGAACACUUUGUUUGGGAGAGACGUGCACAUCAAGAAUCCUGCCACCUAUGAUGAACUGGUGGAAAUGAUGAGAGUGGAAAUCACCAAGCCUUUCAGAUACUUAGAAAAUAUAAGAUGAAGUUGAAUCCCCUCAAGUGCACCUUUGGGGUGGCUUCGGGUCAGUUCUUGGGGUAUAUUGUUAACCAAAGAGGAAUUGAAGCCAAUCCAGUAAAGAUAACGGCCUUGCUGGAAAUGAGAUAACCUCAGAAAUCGAAAGAGGUCCAAAGCCUCAAUGGUUAAAUAGCCGCACUCAGUCGCUUCAUCUCCAGGGCCACUGAUAAGAGCUUACCCUUGUUCAAGGUGCUUAAGUAAGGAAAGAAGUUCCAAUGGACUUUUGAGUGUGAAGAAUCCUUCCAGGCGCUGAAAAAGCACCUUGGAUAAGUGCCCCUUUUGUCAAAACCUCAACCAGAGGAGUCUCUGCUGCUGUAUUUGGCAGUAUUGGACAUGGCGGUCAGCGCUGUUCUAGUCAGAAAGGAAAAUGAACGACAGUUGCCAAUAUACUACGUCAGCAAAGCACUCCUCCCAGCUGAAACACGGUGCUCAGACAUGGAGAAAUUGGCACUUGCCCCCAUCACGGCCUCAAGGAAACUGAGGUCAUACUUCCAGGCCCACUCGAUUGACGUUCUUACCAACUUCCCAUUGAAGCAGGUGCUGCAGAGAACAGAAGGAUCAGGACGCCUACUAAAAUGGGCAAUCGAGCUCAGCGAGUUCGACAUAUUGUUCUGACCUCGACAUGCCAUCAAGGGCCAGGCCCUUGCAGAUUUUGUGAUUGAGUUUGCCAAAGCCCCGAAAAUGGAGGCAAUAAUGGAACCAGCCGAACCCCCAACCUGAAAACUGUUCGUAGAUGGAUCUUUAGGAGAGGUAGGCUCCAGGAUAGGAAUAGUCUUGGAAAGCCCAGAGGAUCACAAGCUAAAUUGUGCAGUAAGGUUCGUCUUCAAAGCCUCGAACAACGCUGCUGAGUACGAGGCCCUUCUAGCGGGCCUUAGACUGGCAAGAAAAAUGCAGGUCAGAAGGCUUGUGGCCAGCAGCGAUUCUCAGCUGAUAGUAAAUCAGGUCAGUGGAAGCUUUACGGCCAAAGACAGCGGCAUGGUCACAUACUUGAAAUUAGUUCUGGACCUAGUCCCCCAGUUUGAAAGGUUCGAACUGAUUCAAGUCCUACGCCUAGAGAAUACACAUGUAGACACCUUCUCAAAAUUGGCCAGCAGCAAGGAUUCUGAGUUAUUAAAAGUUGUCCCUAUUGAACACUUGGUGAAGCCCUCCAUUUCCAGAGGAGAAGAGGUACUUUGGAUAGAAGGCACCCCAUUAUGGAUGAAGCCCAUCAUCGCCUAUCUAAAGGAUCAGACACAAGGCAAGGAAGUGGAGGAGAAGGGUUGCGCACUUCGUCCUGAAAGAGGAUAUGCUCUACCAAAGAGGCUUUGCCUCACCACUUCUCAGAUGUGUGGUAGGCGAAAAGGCCACAUAUAUACUUAGGGAUAUCCAUGAGGGAAUCUAAGGAAAUUACUCUAGAGGAGCGGCCCUGGCAUACAAGGUUCUCCGUCAAGGCUACUUCUGGCCAACCCUGAAAAGGGAUGCUUGCCAGUUUGUCCAGAAAUGUGACAAGUGUCAGCGCUUCUCGAAUAUUCAAAGGUAGCCUUCUUAGAACCUCUCUGUGGUAACCAGCCCCUGGUCAUUCGUCAAGUGGGACAUCGACUUCAUUGGUCCACUCCCUAAAGGAAGAAGAAGCGCGACCUUCGCCAUUGUCGCUAUUAACUACUUCACCAAGUAGGUCGAGACUGAACCUCUUUCGAAGAUUACCGAGGCAAAUACUACAAAAUUCGUCUGGAAGAAUAUUAUUUGCAAAUUCGAUAUUCCCCACUCCUUAGUGUCUGACAAUGGAAGACAGUUCGACAACAGGAAAAUGCGAGAAUUGUGCGUCGAACUGGGGAUAAAAAAAGAUUUCUCAACGCCUCAUCACCCGCAAGCAAAUUGACAAGUUGAGGCAGUAAACAAAACCAUCAAGCAUACCCUGAAAAGGAAGCUUGACACAUCAAAGGGGGCUUGGGUCGAUGAACUUCCCCAUGUCCUCUGGGCAAUCCGAACCACAGCCGAACUGCAACUGGGAAAACACCAUUCUCAAUGAUCUACGAGGCCGAGGCCAUGAGUCCGGUCGAGGUUGAGGUCCCAUCACACCGUCGAAUACACUACAAUGAGAUCAGUAAUGAUGAGGCCCGAGUGAACGAAAUCCACCUCCUUGAAGAAAGGAGGGAUACCUCCCAGGUGAAUUUGGCAAAGUAUCAUAGGAAGAUGACCCGUUAUUAUAACUCCAAGGUCAAAAAUCGAACUCUUCGCUUGGGAGACCUCGUCCUCAGGAGGGUCUUCCAAUCAUCAAAGCCAAUCAGGUCAGGAGUGUUUGGACCGAACUGGGAAGGUCCUCACCGCAUCCGUGGGAAAUCCCGACCUGGCACUUUCGAAAUUGAAGACAUGACAGGGAAAGCACUACCUCAUCAAUGGAACAUCGAACACUUAAGGAAAUAUUAUCAGUGAUGAGUUUUUGUUUGGAUCCAAUCUCAAUGUUGUCUGAUAAGUAUGUCUCCCGAUCCGAUCUCAUUUGUAAUUUUCCUAUCUUACUGAGCACUGAAAAUGCCUUGGUAAUGGAUAAUGUAACUUUUUUAAGUGUUGAUACUUUAGUUCUUUGUCACAUUGGUUAUCAAAUUGUUACCUCAGUCCCUCAGUAUGAUUACUUAAGUGGUCCGAUCUUCUGAUUGUUGUCAAGAGGCUCCCGAUUAUUACUUAAGUGAUCCGAUCUUCUGAUUAUUGUUAAGAGACGCUUAAUGAUUACUUAAGUGGUCCGAUCUUCUGAUUGUUGUUAAGAGGCGCUUAGUCUUAAAAGUUUGUCAUUCAUAUAUGCGUAAACAGAUCAAUGCGAUAAGAAAGUAGAAGCAAUAGCACUUGGCAAAAAAAAUUUCAUUUCAUUCACUUCAAAUUUAUAGGAGGCCAAAGCAAUUACAAAAUAAGCCCUACUCUAUGGGAGGCUCCUCCCCACCAGCCUCUGCCUCGCCAGCCUCGGGAGCUGUUGGAGUGUUCUCUGCAAGCCUAUCAGGCUGGCCUCCAGUAGGUCCCCCGAACUCUGCCUCUAAAGAGGAAAUGUUCAAAGUAGGGUGGACCUCUUUCAGCCGAUCCAAUAUACCUUGGGCACUCUAGGAGGCCCAGAAAUUUGCAAAGUCAUCGUACAAGGGAUGUUCCUCGAAGUGGUCAAUGAAAUUUUGAACAAACAUUUCCCCUGUCGACUUCAGUUCCUCCUUCAAGGAGGCCAUUUCCUCAGAGUAGGUCUCUAUCUUCUACCUCAGCUCAGCUUUCUCUUUAUUGGAGGCCUCCAGAGCCUCUAUGGCUAGCCGGUGGUGCUCGUUGGCAUGAUCCACUCUUUAGGUCAUGGCAGCUACCUGACACUCCACUUCAUAGAGUUCCUUCUUCAGCCGCUCUAUAUCUCCUGCAGCAGCCGCUAGCUGGGCCUCAGCCUCCGUCCUCCUUUUCUCUUCCUCUGCAGCAUUGGCCCGGGCCUCCCUCACCUUGUCCCCAUAUUGCAUCGCUUCCUUGAGGCGCUUGGCAAGGUCCUCCCUCUUGGCGUUGAGGUCCUUCACCAAGCCCUCAAACUGGAUGCUGGUGCUUAGAGCCCGGGCCACACAAGCACUAUUGGCUGUGCAAAAGGUGGUGUGGUCCCUCCAUUCUUCAGUCCAAUACUUAUUUUGGACCACCGCCACUGCAGCCAUUUCUGGGGGGAGAGCCUCCAGUACUUCUUUAACUGGCUCCUUGGAGUUCAAGCCCAAGAAGUCCACCUCCUUUGAGGGACGGGCUCUUUUCUUCUUAGGCAGCCCUGGCACCUGGGCGAGAGGGACGGCAGCAACUGGCGCCUUGGCCGGGGCAGGGGAAGCCUCUGAUGGAGCGGACGUUCUCUUCGAAAUGGCCACCCCGAUAGGAAUUGUGGUUUGCCUCAGAAUGGGGGGUGGCCUCGCCACUGUUGGCCGCUUCGAAGGUUUCUUGCCCUUCCGAAGCAGAUUCACCUUUGGAUCCUUAGGCACCUCCUCCUUUGUCGGAGGCGGGAGCCUCUUGCUGGCAUCCACUAAGUCCUCCAUCCACUUCUUGUAAGAGGAGGAGGAGGUCUUCAAGGCCCUCACCUUGGCCAUCAUCUUCUGUAUUGUUUUCAAGUCAGGUCGGAGAGGCAUCUUCUUAUUGAAGUUAUCUGCAAGAAAUAAGUAAAUUAGUACAAGUGUAAAUGACUCAAAAAUAUUCAAAGGUAUUCGCUUCGAGACAUUACCUUGUGAGGCCAUCGUGUGUCAUAAAAUGGAGGAUCUUUCUCAUCGAUCGAUGGAACGACCUCUUCUUCGAAGGCAGUUGAUAGAUCACGCAGAUGAUUUCGAAAUCGUCGGAGGACAGCUCACACCGAGGAAGAGUGCCUUCAAAAAAUGAAUACGAUUGUUAAUUAUAAUUUGAACUGAAGAGAAACAAAAAAGAAAUACAGCUACAAUACUCACUAAGUGUCGAGUACUUCGUGAGGACCGUAAGAGGUGCCAGAGGGUCCCCCUCUAUCGUGUCCUAUCUCCCAGCAGCCCAGCACCAUGAGCCCUUCCACUCUUUGAUGGAGCUCGGUAGAUUGAGUACGAAUGGAGUGUGGGAAUCCCAAGAGGUCAGGUAAUACCAGCCCCUGGUCUUAUCCCCCGGCUGUUACUUUUGGAAUAUAGAGGGUUUGAAAAAUAGAGAAGGGCAUCUCCACUCCUAGUGACGCCUCUUUCCAUAACAUCCAGGAGCCCACCAU
rnacentral:lncRNA from 1 species